GUCAGGAUGGCCGAGCGGUCUAAGGCGCCAGACUCAAGAUGCUGGUCUUCAAUGAAGGCGUGGGUUCAAAUCCCACUCCUGACA